GACGAACGCUGGCGGCGUGCCUAAUACAUGCAAGUAGAACGCUGAAGCUUGGUGCUUGCACCGAGCGGAUGAGUUGCGAACGGGUGAGUAACGCGUAGGUAACCUGCCUGGUAGCGGGGGAUAACUAUUGGAAACGAUAGCUAAUACCGCAUAAGAGUAGAUGUUGCAUGACAUUUGCUUAAAAGGUGCAAUUGCAUCACUACCAGAUGGACCUGCGUUGUAUUAGCUAGUUGGUGAGGUAACGGCUCACCAAGGCAACGAUACAUAGCCGACCUGAGAGGGUGAUCGGCCACACUGGGACUGAGACACGGCCCAGACUCCUACGGGAGGCAGCAGUAGGGAAUCUUCGGCAAUGGACGGAAGUCUGACCGAGCAACGCCGCGUGAGUGAAGAAGGUUUUCGGAUCGUAAAGAUCUGUUGUAAGAGAAGAACGAGUGUGAGAGUGGAAAGUUCACACUGUGACGGUAUCUUACCAGAAAGGGACGGCUAACUACGUG
rnacentral:rRNA from 1 species